UGGGGAAUAUUGCACAAUGGAGGAAACUCUGAUGCAGCGACGCCGCGUGAGUGAAGAAGUAUUUCGGUAUGUAAAGCUCUAUCAGCAGGGAAGAAAGAAAUGACGGUACCUGACUAAGAAGCCCCGGCUAACUACGUGCCAGCAGCCGCGGUAAUACGUAGGGGGCAAGCGUUAUCCGGAUUUACUGGGUGUAAAGGGAGCGUAGACGGCGAUGCAAGUCAGAUGUGAAAACCCAUGGCUCAACCAUGGGAUUGCAUUUGAAACUGUGUUGCUAGAGUGCAGGAGAGGUAAGCGGAAUUCCUGGUGUAGCGGUGAAAUGCGUAGAUAUCAGGAGGAACACCGGUGGCGAAGGCGGCUUACUAGACUGUAACUGACGUUGAGGCUCGAAGGCGUGGGUAGCAAACAGG
rnacentral:rRNA from 1 species